UGGGGAAUAUUGGACAAUGGGCGAAAGCCUGAUCCAGCCAUGCCGCGUGUGUGAAGAAGGUCUUCGAAUUGUAAAGCACUUUAAGUUGGGAGGAAGGGCAUUAACCUAAUACGUUAGUGUUUUGACGUUACCGACAGAAUAAGCACCGGCUAACUCUGUGCCAGCAGCCGCGGUAAUACAGAGGGUGCAAGCGUUAAUCGGAAUUACUGGGCGUAAAGCGCGCGUAGGUGGUUUGUUAAGUUGGAGGUGAAAUCCCCGGGCUCAACCUGGGAACUGCAUUCAAAACUGACUGACUAGAGUAUGGUAGAGGGUGGUGGUAUUUCCUGUGUAGCGGUGAAAUGCGUAGAUAUAGGAAGGAACACCAGUGGCGAAGGCGACCACCUGGACUAAUACUGACACUGAGGUGCGAAAGCGUGGGGAGCAAACA
rnacentral:rRNA from 1 species